rnacentral:rRNA from 1 species
GACGAACGCUGGCGGCAUGCCUAAUACAUGCAAGUCGAGCGAACAGAUGAAGUGCUUGCACUUCUGACGUUAGCGGCGAACGGGUGAGUAACACGUAAGGAAUCUACCUAUAAGCGGGGGAUAACAUUCGGAAACGGGUGCUAAUACCGCAUAAUAUCUUCUUCCGCAUGGAAGAAGAUUGAAAGACGGCUCUGCUGUCACUUAUAGAUGACCUUGCGGUGCAUUAGUUAGUUGGUGGGGUAACGGCCUACCAAGACGAUGAUGCAUAGCCGACCUGAGAGGGUGAUCGGCCACAUUGGGACUGAGACACGGCCCAAACUCCUACGGGAGGCAGCAGUAGGGAAUCUUCCGCAAUGGGCGAAAGCCUGACGAGCAACGCCGCGUGAGUGAAGAAGGCCUGGUCGUAAACGUAC